rnacentral:rRNA from 1 species
UACCUGCAGCUCGAGUGGUAACCGUUAUUAUUGGGCCUAAAGCGUCCGUAGCCGGUUUGGUAAAUAUCUGGGUAAAUCGUGAGGCUUAACUUCACGAAUUUCGGAUAGACUGCCAGACUUGGGAUCGGGGGAGGUCAGAGGUACUCCAGGGGUAGCGGUGAAAUGUUGUAAUCCUUGGAGGACCACCGGUAGCGAAGGCGUCUGACUAGAACGAGCCCGACGGUGAGGGACGAAGCCCUGGGGCGCAAACCGGAUUAGAUACCCGGGUAGUCCAGGGUGUAAACGAUGUGGGCUUUGUAUUGGAGGUCCCACGUGGGCGUCCAGUGCAGAAGAGAAGUUGUUAAGCCCACCGCCUGGGAAGUACGGUCGCAAGGCUGAAACUUAAAGGAAUUGGCGGGGGAGCACAGCAACGGGAGGAGCGUGCGGUUU